AUUUUUUUCUCGCGGUUUUCUUUCGCGUCACGCACGACGGACUAAGCGAAAGAGGGACUACUCGUAGUCUAGUUUGACUGUAACUCUAUCGCACCCUGGGAUUUACUUUACGCAUCCAACCGUUUGAUUGACAGCAGCUGAAAUCUGCAAAGUGACUCAAGUAUUCCGAGAGCUAAAUCUGUUGACCAAUCAAAACCGACUAGUUCUAGACAUGCAAAUUACAUUAUGCCGCGCGUUGAUAAAUUGGGUAUUGUAAGCAUGGUAAGUACAUGUCGCGAAAAACAGUAGCAUUCUGGGCGAUGGAUUACUGAAGAAAAACUUCCGAGCAGCAAUUGCAGAAGAGUUAAACAUCGUUCCUGUAUCUACAUGUCAAAGGCAUCCUAGGGCUUUAAAUUACCAUGGUGAAGUGCACUUUUUUGAGAAAAAGUGCCAUACACAUGGGUGCUACAUUCCUGAUGUUGAUUUCCCUACUUUCCAUGCUAGCUUGGCUAAUAACGACAGAUCAAAGAUUUAACUAUCAAGUUAUUCAGGUAUUCCAGGAUAGGUUCUUAAUCCAAAUGACUUCCAGACAAAAGGAAGCUACAACAAAGAUUCAGGAAUAUUGUGCGGAAUAUGGAAAAGAUUCAAGUGAAAAAGAUCUCGAUUUCUCAAACUUUAUUGUGCUGGAGAAGUCUAAACUUGUAUACUGUACGGUUCCCAAGGUGGCCUGUACAGUCUGGAAGCGAAUACUGGCCAACUUAGAGGGCCACAACAUUACACAAGGCGU